AGAGUUUGAUCAUGGCUCAGGAUGAACGCUAGCUACAGGCUUAACACAUGCAAGUCGAGGGGAAACGACAUCGAAAGCUUGCUUUUGAUGGGCGUCGACCGGCGCACGGGUGAGUAACGCGUAUCCAACCUGCCCACCACUUGGGGAUAACCUUGCGAAAGUAAGACUAAUACCCAAUGACGUCUCUAGAAGACAUCUGAAGGAGAUUAAAGAUUUAUCGGUGAUGGAUGGGGAUGCGUCUGAUUAGCUUGGUUGGCGGGGUAACGGCCCACCAAGGCGACGAUCAGUAGGGGUUCUGAGNGGAAGGUCCCCCACAUUGGAACUGAGACACGGUCCAAACUCCGUACGGGAGGCA
rnacentral:rRNA from 1 species